GACGAACGCUGGCGGCGUGCUUAACACAUGCAAGUCGAACGCUGAAGCUCAGCUUUUGUUGGGUGGAUGAGUGGCGAACGGGUGAGUAACACGUGAGUAACCUGCCCCCUUCUUUGGGAUAACGCCCGGAAACGGGUGCUAAUACUGGAUAUUCACUGGUCUUCGCAUGGGGGUUGGUGGAAAGGGUUUUUCUGGUGGGGGAUGGGCUCGCGGCCUAUCAGCUUGUUGGUGGGGUGAUGGCCUACCAAGGCUUUGACGGGUAGCCGGCCUGAGAGGGUGACCGGUCACAUUGGGACUGGGAUACGGCCCAGACUCCUACGGGAGGCAGCAGUGGGGAAUAUUGCACAAUGGGCGCAAGCCUGAUGCAGCGACGCCGCGGGAGGGAUGGAGGCCGUCGGGUUGUGAACCUCUUUCGCUCAUGGUCAAGCCGCAACAAUGGUUGUGGUGAGGGUAGUGGGUAAAGAAGCGCCGGCUAACUACGUG
rnacentral:rRNA from 1 species